AAUUUACCUGUGAAAUCGACACGAAAGCAGACGUGUCUCCAAAUAUGGCUGACGUGAGAUUUGGAGAGGUCAAACGAGAUUUUAAAUAACCAAUCGAAAGCGGAAUUCCCUUCCAUGUGACCUAACAUGGAGGACAAAGAACCGUGGCGGGAGUGUCCCAUGCUGGAAAUAAUGUUUGAGUUUAAGAAAACAGAUCAUCAGAAUACCAAUUUAUUCAAGGGCAUUAUUUCUGAACACAUAUUCAAGACACAUGCAAAGUAAUGAGGCGAGACGUUGCGACGAUUGCAAGAUUUCAGUGAUGGAAUGCGGGGACCUGUUGCGGUUUCUUUGUUGUUUUCAACUUACAAUGUGUCAUAACAAGCAAAGCAAAUUUGCAAUGUGGAAUCGAAAUAUGCACGAGCUCCUGGAUGUACAUGACAUUUGUGAUUUUGAGCUCAAGCGAUUUACUUUAACACGUCGAUUUAGUUACAGUAACAUUUUAUGGGUAAUAGAGGUCGUAAGAUCACCGUAUGGAGCGACUUCCGGGUGUAGGCGGAGGUGGAGGAGGGGAUUGCGAAAGGCUACAUCGCGGCAUGCGAAUAAACGACGUUGCCUAAAGCAAGCUGAUGCUGAUGGCAAUCAAGCAGUCACUUUGGAUUACAACAUUAAGACAGUGCAUGUCACUGGAUAGCAGCAGGAUGACUUCAGCAGGAAAGGAUGACACAGUUAUAGAAAUCGUCAGAGAUAGCCUAAAACGAGGCUGUCAGCACUGCAUGACAUCAUGUGAAACUGGAAAACAUGCCAGAAUCUGCAUGAGGUGGGGCUAACCUUUUAGCCAUAAGGAUGAUCAACUUUAUGCAUCAGGAAUGCCAUUUUAAAAAGCAGUAAAAAGUAACACACAAAUUGUGGUGAAUGUGAGACAUUAUUGUGCAAAAAACUGUAGAACUAAGGAGAAACGAACAAAAAAAUAUCUCAAAAAAAUUGUCAGCUUUUAUCAUUUAUAAUUCACUGCUGCACUAAGCUUUCUUGCCUGUCCUUAUUUCUGACCCCACUCUCUUCCAAAUCCAAGAAAAUUUCACUUCAAGUUUUGAGAAGUUAUGAAAUUUUGGGCUGUCUAGGAUCCCCAUAUUGGACAGUAGUCCAAUCAUCAUGAUAGACAGUCUCGUUGCAGACGAGUUCUAAAAAGAUUAAUGUGCAUUUGAAUUAUGUGAAGUGUUGAUACCUCCAAUAGCAUGCCAGAUAAUAUGCUGCUGUAUUGCUAUUAUUUGUGGAACAUAAGCAAAAGCAAGUUUGUGUAGAGUCACUUGUUUAAAAGAUAUUGAAAUUUGUAUGAUCUUAAUCAAAUAAAGUGU